rnacentral:rRNA from 1 species
AAGCGUCUGGAAAGGCGCGCGAUACAGGGUGACAGCCCCGUACACAAAAAUGCACAUACUGUGAGCUCGAUGAGUAGGGCGGGACACGUGGUAUCCUGUCUGAAUAUGGGGGGACCAUCCUCCAAGGCUAAAUACUCCUGACUGACCGAUAGUGAACCAGUACCGUGAGGGAAAGGCGAAAAGAACCCCGGCGAGGGGAGUGAAAAAGAACCUGAAACCGUGUACGUACAAGCAGUGGGAGCCUCUUAAUGGGGUGACUGCGUACCUUUUGUAUAAUGGGUCAGCGACUUAUAUUCUGUAGCAAGGUUAACCGAAUAGGGGAGCCGAAGGGAAACCGAGUCUUAACUGGGCGUUAAGUUGCAGGGUAUAGACCCGAAACCCGGUGAUCUAGCCAUGGGCAGGUUGAAGGUUGGGUAACACUAACUGGAGGACCGAACCGACUAAUGUUGAAAAAUUAGCGGAUGACUUGUGGCUGGGGGUGAAAGGCCAAUCAAACCGGGAGAUAGCUGGUUCUCCCCGAAAGCUAUUUAGGUAGCGCCUCGUGAAUUCAUCUCCGGGGGUAGAGCACUGUUUCGGCAAGGGGGUCAUCCCGACUUACCAACCCGAUGCAAACUGCGAAUACCGGAGAAUGUUAUCACGGGAGACACACGGCGGGUGCUAACGUCCGUCGUGAAGAGGGAAACAACCCAGACCGCCAGCUAAGGUCCCAAAGUCAUGGUUAAGUGGGAAACGAUGUGGGAAGGCCCAGACAGCCAGGAUGUUGGCUUAGAAGCAGCCAUCAUUUAAAGAAAGCGUAAUAGCUCACUGGUCGAGUCGGCCUGCGCGGAAGAUGUAACGGGGCUAAACCAUGCACCGAAGCUGCGGCAGCGACACUAUGUGUUGUUGGGUAGGGGAGCG